rnacentral:rRNA from 1 species
AACCCUCCCCUCAAGUGGUCAGGAUGAUUAUUGGGCCUAAAGCAUCCGUAGCCGGCUCUGUAAGUUUUCGGUUAAAUCUGUACGCUCAACGUACAGGCUGCCGGGAAUACUGCAGAGCUAGGGAGUGGGAGAGGUAGACGGUACUCGGUAGGAAGGGGUAAAAUCCUUUGAUCUAUUGAUGACCACCUGUGGCGAAGGCGGUCUACCAGAACACGUCCGACGGUGAGGGAUGAAAGCUGGGGGAGCAAACCGG